GAUGAAAGAACGUAGUGAAAUGCGAUAAGUAAUGUGAAUUGCAGAAUUCAGUGAAUCAUCGAAUCUUUGAACGCACAUUGCGCCCGCCAGUAUUCUGGCGGGCAUGCCAGUUCGAGCGUCAUUUCAACCAUCAAGCCCCAGGCUUGUGUUGGGGACCUGCGGCUGCCGCAGGCCCUGAAAACCAGUGGCGGGCUCGCUAGUCACACCGAGCGUAGUAGCAUACACAUCGCUCAGGGCGUGCUGCGGGUUCCGGCCGUUAAACCCCUUUUUUACCCAAGGUUGACCUCGGAUCAGGUAGGAAGACCCGCUGAACUUAAGCAUAUCAAUAAGCGGAGGA
rnacentral:misc_RNA from 1 species